rnacentral:lncRNA from 1 species
GUUUGAGAUAGUUUUUCAUUAGUAUACCUAUAAAAAAAAUAGGUAUAUCUUGCAUCUUUUCUAGAGUUUCGAUAUUCGAUAUAAGGAUUCCUUUACCAACAGUCAACCCCAUUUGUUAGAAUAGCUUCCAUUGAGUCUCUGCACCUAUCCUUUCUUUUUUCUUAUUCUCGCUUGCUGAACCUUUGUUCAUGUUUAUUUUCGUAAAAUAAUAAAAUAAUAGGAUUUGGCUCAGCAAACUAUUAGAUCUUAUCUAUUAACUAUCUAUUAGUUAUUCAUAAUUAAUAUGAAUUAUUAAUAUGAAUUAUAGACUCGAAUUUAGAAAAACUAGAAUUUUUUCUAA